rnacentral:rRNA from 1 species
CACGUAGGGUGCGAGCGUUUGUCCGGAAUUAUUGGGCGUAAAGAGCUCGUAGGCGGUGUGUCGCGUCGGCCGUGAAAACCUGCAGCUUAACUGUGGGCUUGCGGUCGAUACGGGCAUCACUGGAGUUCGGCAGGGGAGACUGGAAUUCCUGGUGUAGCGGUGAAAUGCGCAGAUAUCAGGAGGAACACCGGUGGGCGAAGGCGGGGUCUCUGGGCCGAUACUG